CACUCCGGUGGCCUUGUGGUUAGAUCGUCAGCCUCGGAUGCAGGAAGACCUGGGUUCUAUCCCCGGCCGAGUCA